UACGUAGGUGGCAAGCGUUGUCCGGAAUUAUUGGGCGUAAAGCGCGCGCAGGCGGCCUCUUAAGUCUGAUGUGAAAGCCCCCGGCUCAACCGGGGAGGGCCAUUGGAAACUGGGAGGCUUGAGUAUAGGAGAGAAGAGUGGAAUUCCACGUGUAGCGGUGAAAUGCGUAGAGAUGUGGAGGAACACCAGUGGCGAAGGCGACUCUUUGGCCUAUAACUGACGCUGAGGCGCGAAAGCGUGGGCAGCAAACAGG
rnacentral:rRNA from 1 species